GACGGUUCUUGGGUGAUGCACCCCGGUAUCAGGCUCCCACCUCUCUGAUCCCGGGUUUGUCACCUGAGAACUGCA
rfam:Myotis davidii contig17725, whole genome shotgun sequence.